CACAGCUAAAGUAUAACUGGAUGACACUGGAAGCCUUGAACACUGCAUCCACUCUUAUGGUAAGAUAAUUUAGUCCUCGAUUAGCUUCUCCAUAUCGUCUGCUUUCAGUGGAGGAGAGUCCAGAGCCCCCAGAGGAGCGCGUGCGAGACGGGUACACAGCAGCUACUGAACACAUCCGUGUGAAAGUGCCAAUCUCAAGUUCUCACUCGUCUUUCCUCCAUUCACUUUAUUUCAUGGAGUAUGAGAAUAGACAUUUUCGUCUGGAUGUCUUAGCGGGGCUCCUCGCGCAGAUUUACAUUCUGCAGCGCUGGAUCUGUGUGGAGGCUGAAGAAAGGAAUUUAGGGCUGAGGAUGGGUGCUCAUCAUCACCGCACUACUGGAUGAAGACAUAAAACUUUAUUUCCCGCCCAUUCCCAUGAAGCAGACUCUCAAAUAUCUGUGCAUAAUUGAAAUAGAAGUCAAAUAUAUUGUUUGUAUGUAUAUAAUCAACAUUUUUAUGAUUUUCGAACGUUUUACAUUUUAUCAUAUCAUUCUCAAUGUAUUGUAGUUCUUUCCCUCGAAUGACUAACACAGUCUCGUAACACCUUUUUCUUCAGUUUAUAAUGUUGUGAGAUAUCAGUCUAGAGCAAGGUUUAAAAACAAUAAGCUUUUGGUAUUCUAUCCAUGUAUCUCUAAAUUAUGGGGUGUAUUCAUUGGAAUAGACUAAAGACAGCUAAUGUUUGUAAUGUCAUGGAAUGUACGACUCGCUACUUUUUAUUCAAAAUUAUUUAAUAUAGCAAUUUUGCAUUUUCCAAUUCUGUCUAAACAUGUCCUAACUUUUGCCUGUCCAAUUAAUAAAACAAUAAUUCGUGAAAUAAAAUUCUAGACAAACAGGAGAUAUGCCAACCAAGCCUAACCACCUCCCAAAACAUUGCACUUUUGAGUUAUUUUCAUUUUUGACAUUAAAGAUGCUCGUGUACGUGGGUGGUCAUGUGACACGGAUGCGUCAUAUAUGAUGCGCAGUGAGGAGAAGAGCGUCUCAUUCCCUACAAACCUGCGGACUCUCUCUCUCUCUCUCACUCACUCACUGCUCGGGCUGCGGUUGAGCUGGAGAGCAUCUCAUCUGUUCUCUCAGAGAGGAACACCUGCGCGAACUAUGUGAAGGUAAAACUCUUGCAACCUGAUGCAUUUCGUCUUUUAUUAAAUUCAAUCGCAGCGGUAUUAUUUAUAACGCUUUAGGUGAACUCAUCGACUAUUUCAGCACAAACAGAAAAGUUAGCAGUUUUAAUCUACAGUGCGUCUCGCAGUGCAGUGGUAUUAAAUAUUAAAUACCAAAUGAAUAGCUGUGAAGUUCUCUGACACACAUUUUGCGGUACUAAAUAUAAAAACGGAAUUGAACCUAAAUUUAACGUAUUUUGCCGAAUAAUGAUUAAAAACACACUGAUGCGAGCACACGGCUGAUAGUGCAUCACAGUUAAAUAUUUGCACUCUAUACACACACAUACUAGACUAUCCGAUAAUGUUAUCAGUCAUUAUUAUAUUCUGAGUUUAUAAUAUAUUUGAAUUUCUAACUAUAAAUCAUAUAUAUUUUAUACUUUUAAUUGAUAUUUAUUUCAGUUGAUUCUAUAUGAGUUUUAAAAAAUAAGGUUAUUAUAAGGUUGUGUCUAAGUUGCCCGCUGCUUUAUAAGUGUAGUAUGGUGUUUUAGGUUGAGUCUGCUGGCAUCAAUUAUUCAAAGCCCGUCUCUUAGAGUAAUAAUCCCUAGGUGCCCAUCCAUGCAAGAAAAACAACAAGCGCAAAAUACAAGAGCCGUAUGAUGGCUCGUCUGAGAGGGCAUUUAUUUCUGUGCUCAGUGGAGCAUCGAUCGAGCUUCUGAGAGCACU
rnacentral:lncRNA from 12 species